GAGGAUGCGAGCGUUAUCCGGAUUUAUUGGGUUUAAAGGGGUGCGUAGGUGGCUGCUUAAGUCAGCGGUGAAAGUUUGUGGCUCAACCAUAAAAUUGCCGUUGAAACUGGGUAGCUUGAGUAUGUUUGAGGUAGGCGGAAUGCGUGGUGUAGCGGUGAAAUGCAUAGAUAUCACGCAGAACUCCAAUUGCGAAGGCAGCUUACUAAACCAUAACUGACACUGAAGCACGAAAGCGUGGGGAUCAAA
rnacentral:rRNA from 1 species